AUUGAACGCUGGCGGCAGGCCUAACACAUGCAAGUCGAACGAGUGGCGGACGGGUGAGUAAUGUAUGGGAAACUGCCUGAUGGCGGGGGAUAACUACUGGAAACGGUAGCUACUACCGCAUACCAUCAGAUGUGCCCAGAUGGGAUUAGCUUGUUGGUGGGGUAACGGCUCACCAAGGCGACGCUCCCUAGCUGGUCUGAGAGGAUGACCAGCAAAACUGGAACUGAGAAACGGGCCAGACGCCUACGGGAGGCAGCAGUGGGGAAGAUUGCACAAUGGGCGCAAGCCUGAUGCAGCAAUGCCGCGUGUAUGAAGAAGGCCUUCGGGUUGUAAAGUACUUUCAGCGGGGAGGCGUUACCCGAAGAAGAAGCACCGGCUAACUCCGUGCCAGCAGCCGCGGUAAUAC
rnacentral:rRNA from 1 species